CCCAAGUCUGAAAAGAAGUGCACUCCCACUGCGCCGCCGUCCUCCACUGAAUCGAGUGGCUCCUCCUCCUUCCCCACUCCCCACUCUGCCGACUUAUCUCCGGGCUGCGCCACCUGGACCGGAGGCUACAUUGCCGAGCGAGCAGGGGAGCGGAGCGAGCGCCCGGCGGCUGGCGGCGACGUGCCGGAGAGGAGCACGGAGGCCGCGCGCCGGCGACGUCAUCGUCCUUCGACUUCCGCAGGAGAGCCCCUAUCUGAAGCACCUAUCUGACCGGUUGACAAGCCCCGAUCCGUAACCCACAAGCCCCUAGCUGACGUCCCAACCCAUAAUCCAGUGGUAAGCCCCUAGAUUUAUUUUUAAUUUCUUUUUGCGGGGCUAGAUUCUUUAUUCAGCUUGAAGAGAAAAACAUUGAAUUUUGCUCACGCUAAACAACAUGUUGAAUUGAGAAUUUUGGAGUGCCUGUCCUAAGUGGACUAUCAAAAUGAAGACAUACCAAGCGUGUUUUGACUUGGAGUAGACUUCAUAAACUUCCAGCUUAAUCCUCUCUUGACUUGGAAUAGACUUUCUGAACUUCCAGCUUAACCCUGUUCUUGACUUGGAGUAGACUUUCUGAACUUCCAGCUUAACCCUGUUUUUGACUUCGAGUAGACUUCCUGAACUCCAGCUUGCAAUCCCUGAUAUCUGAAUGGCUACUUGUGACAUCUGAACUUUGAGAUUUAGAGCAGUUAGAUCUCUUAAUUAAUUUUUGAGCACACACUUCAUGCCUUCAAUUUUGCAGCGUGAUAUCUAGAACAUGAUCACUGUAUUUGCUUAAAUGGAAGGUGGUGUUCCCUUCCCUGUGUAUCAGACUAUCAGCUCCUGACGGCCCAGUGCCGCAAACAGAGGAGCAUAUUCUUCUAGCUCCACAGGUUGGCGUGCCAUCGCUUAUUGAUGAUCCAGAGUUUAUAACUUGGGGUGGUGGAGCUUCGAUAUAUGCUGGCGUUUUCCAGUUCUCUACAUUAUUUUUACUUUUUAGUUAUUAUUAUGUUCCUGUUCUAACAUAAGUUUUUUGUCUCCCUUUUUUUUAGAACUCUUCAGUUUCUACAAGUUCCCUGGCUAUGAGGUUCCUAUCAUUCGUGGAUCUGCCUUGUCAUCCGUGUAUGGCCAUGGUUAUCCUCCCACUCCUCCUGCUCGUGCCUCUCACCGCUGCCCAAACGUGGCCAGCGUGCGGCGAGAGCGGCAACUACAAAUCAAAUAGCACCUAUGAAGCCAACCUCAAGCUCCUCUCUUCCAUCCUCCCAAAGAAAGCAGCAUCCAACACCACCCUCUUCGCCACCGACACCGUCGGCAAUGUUCCGAACACCAUCUUUGCCCUUGCUCUCUGCCGCGGGGACUCCAAUGCCUCUGCCUGCGAAGGAUGCUUGGUGACCGCCUUCCAGGACGGGAAGGAACACUGCACGAGCAAUAAGGACGCCACCGUGUACUACAAUAGCAAUCCCUGCAUGCUCAGGUUCUCCAACCAGAAUUUUCUCGCCACCAACGUCAAUGACAAUAUAUUCGUCAUUGUGAGCCUCGAGAUGUUCAUAAACAUCUCGACAAGAGCUUUCAACUUCUUGUUGUUCACACUUCUGAACAACACAGCUCAAUCGGCUGCGAACAGCUCGAGGAGGUUCACCACCUCGCGCUUAGAUGUCAGCUCCCUCCCGACGCUCUACUGCCUUAUGCAGUGCACGCCCGACCUGAGUGCUGAUGACUGUGCGGCCUGUUUCCAGCCUUACUCCCAGUUAACACUCAAGUACAUGGACCGUAGGAAAGGUGGUCGACUUCUGGGGACACGGUGUAGCAUGAGGUACGAGAUAUACCCGUUCUUUCAAGCGGACCCCAUGCUGCAUAUUAUCAGCUUGGUAUCUGAACUUCCGCCGAUCAACAAUACCAUGCCGCCAGUUACAUUGUACCCACCCCCGCAGUCGCAACCGCUGUCACCGGUUGCGGCACCACCACCUCCGGAGGCGCAGGCGACCACCCAAGAACUUCAUGGACGCAACUCACGCCGGAGGGUGCUUUGGAUUAUUGCUGUGGCAGCUCCAUUACUGUCAAUAUUUUUGUGUGUUAUUUGUUUCGUUGUAUGGAUGAGAAGACGAAGAAAAGGAACUGAAAUCGUACAUGAUCAAGCUGCCACAAAUAGGCCGGAAGAAGACGCAUUGGUUUGGAGAUUGGAAGAAAAGAGUUCAGAGUUCAUUCUCUUUGACUUUUCUGAGAUAUUGCAUGCUACACACAACUUCUCGAAAGAAAACCUACUUGGGCAAGGUGGUUUUGGCCCUGUCUACAAGGGCCAAUUACCAGAUGGAAUAGAAAUUGCAGUUAAAAGGCUUGCCUCACAUUCAAGACAGGGUUUCACGGAAUUCAAAAACGAAGUUGAACUUAUUGCAAAACUACAACACAGUAAUCUGGUCAAGCUCAUGGGUUGCUGCAUUCAGGGAGAGGAAAAACUUUUGGUGUACGAAUAUUUGCCAAAUAAGAGCUUGGACUUCUUUAUCUUUGAUGUUAGCAGAACAACGUUGGUUGAUUGGAAUAAAAGAUGUGUGAUAAUCGAAGGGAUAGCCCAAGGUCUACUGUAUCUCCACAAGCACUCUCGGUUGCGCAUCAUACACAGAGACCUUAAGGCCAGCAACAUUCUCUUGGACCAGGACAUGAAUCCUAAAAUUUCUGAUUUUGGGUUAGCUAAAAUUUUCAGCUCCAAUGAUACCCAAGGAAGCACAAAGAGGGUGGUGGGAACAUAUGGUUAUAUGGCUCCGGAGUACGCAUCUGAAGGCAUUUACUCGAUCAAAUCUGAUGUGUUCAGCUUUGGUGUCUUACUUCUCGAGAUCCUUAGCGGACAAAGGAAUUCUGGUUUCCAUCAGCAUGAAGACUUUCUUAACCUACUUGGAUACUCAUGGCAGCUCUGGGAAGGAGGAAGAUGUCUUGAGAUUCUAGAAGCAUCAAUUGCUAAGGAGAUCCAUGCAGCCGAGGCUAGGAGGUACAUUAACAUUGCACUAAUGUGCGUACAAGAGCAUGCAGAUGAUCGACCGACUAUGUCAAAUGUCGUUGCGAUGUUAAACAGCGAGGGUGUUAUUCUUCCAGAGCCUAAGCAUCCGGCAUACUUCAACCUAAGGGUAUCUAAGGAAGAUGAAUCGGGUAGUGUUCUGGACAGUCAUAAUGAUGUAACUAUCUGCAGUAAUAAUGACGUAACCAUCACUGAGGAGCCAGAUGGCAGAUAGUUGGUCACUUUGCUUCAGUCCUUCAGUUGUUAAUGGAAGUGCUAGCAAUCAGACAGCUGGCAGGCAUACCAAGUUAGCAUACCAGCCUGUCAUAUUUUGGUUCUGAUGAAGGAUUGCGACCGGCGUACCUCUGUAGAGCUUGCUGGUGUCCGUAGGCUAUAUUGAUAUGCAGGUUAAUUCUGUAUUUAGCUUUUGUGCACCUCACCAUUGUUUUCCACUGGUGGCUGCUGCUGUAGACUUUCAAAGAAGACUUGAAAUCCAAAGGAUUAAUCUCAAUCUGAAAGUAGCUGCAUUAACUGAAUCCUGCUGGGCGAAGUAUGUGCCGCAUCUAUGUGCGCCUUUCAUGUUUUCCUCUAGGUUAAUUCCAUUGGUGUGCUAGGGUUGUAGCAGUUCCAUACUGUUACAAAAAGAAGCAUUUUUUGUAGAGUUGUCACGAUAAUACCAACAUUGACGGUGGAUAAAUUCAUUGACUGUACCACUCACUCAUUGCUGCUAAGAACAGGAGUUUUGAUUUACAGUUUCAAGCAAAAUUUAUUUGGCAAACUCCCUUCCAUGAGUUAAGGUAUGUUUGUACUUUUGAGAAAUUUUCUCUCUUUUUCAGUAUUAUUAAUAGUUAUUGAAUUUUAAAGUUUUUAAGUAACUGCAGAAUUGUCGAACAUUUCUCGAACACAAUGCUGUUAGUAACUUCUUUUGUUCGAGGAAAACAGUAGGCUUCCUUACUGUAUUCUUGUAUAUGUAAUGCAAAGAAGACGAGAGGCUGUGCAGCCCUGAAGUUGGAGCAGCAGCACCAGGCUAGAUAAAAAGCACUCACAUGUACAGUCCUCUAAUCUGGGAGUAAGGUUUUCUGUUAGCUCUGUGCAGAACUGUUGAUAACUUGACAAUUUUAUAUUGAUCAAUCAUGAACCAUUCAGUUUGCUGACCCUUGUUUCCUGUAGUGACCACUAAAGCAAUGUGUCAAUGUGUUGCUGUAUCUGGGCUCACCGCUGUUGCUGUAAACAGUUCUGAAA
rnacentral:rRNA from 1 species